UUUUCCAUCGUUAACCUGUUAACACCUAAGGAGGUCCUUUUUGUAGUGGCAUCUUCAAUGAAAUCUGUUUGUUACACUUGGCUUCUGAGCAUC